CAGCAAGUUUGGGAAAGCUGGACUGACCUGCAGUAAGUGGCUUAUGGGGUUUUGGAUAUUAAUACAAAACCCUUUGGUUCUUUUCUUUUAGGGGAGAGACCAAAAAUUCUUUUUAAAAUGUGAUCAAACAAGCCUUUUCUGAGAAAAUGCCCCUCCCUGACACACAACAUUUGAAUACCUUUUCAGUGACCCAAGAGUCUGCUCUUUGGAACCCAGUGGGAGAAGCUUGAGGGCAGUAAUUGCAAUCAAGAGAGACCUUGGAUAACACCGAAGGCAGCUCUCAUAGCGGUGCAAAGAUGUUGGCAAGGGGCUCCAGGUGGGAAGUCCAGUCAGUAGGUAGAUGGAUGGAUGUGCAAAGGGCAGGAGAUUCAUUAACGAAGAGAACUGGAGGAGAAGAGACUUUCUGCCUAAACUAGCCUCCAGCUGAGAGACAGCCCUCGGCCUGGAUCCCUUUCAAUCCUCAGUUUCUGGAACUUCAUAGCCGCUGUUGGGGAACCAUUCUGGGCUGGCAUAUGGAGAUCAAAACACGCCAUCCCAAAGCACACCACUUUGGCAUAAGGAUUGUUUUGAGCUGAAGGCAGCUGAGAAAAAGCAGACACAGGAAAGGCAAUCUGCUGUCCUGCUCUUUGCCUGAAAGUGAUUCACCACCUACCUGUUCUUACUGGCUAUGCUAACUGGUCAUCAUUUGCCAAGCCUUUAUUCCUGAUCAUGGGUGGGAAAAAUGUGAGUGUGUGUGAAGGAAUGGGGGGGGGGUGGUGGAGAUGAACCAGAGUCUGAGAAACAAAUGCAAUUUAGCUCAGCAUUGUCACCUUCAUCAUCACCAUCACCUUUGUCUUCUUGCUUGCCUUCCUCCUCUAUAUCGUCAUCAUCCAGUCAUCCUACCUGCCUCUGUACACCAUGCCCAGCACCAAAGCAAGCGCUUCGCAAAGUAUCAUCUCACAGUUACAGAGAAUCACAAUCUUGGGAUUCCCCUCCCCUAUAAAACACUGUGAUGAUCAUUCCAAGGACU
ensembl:lncRNA